AUCAAUACGAAGAAGAGUUUAGUAAAUUAAAAAAUAUUAAUCCCAGAGAGGUUUCGUUUGCUGAAAGAAACUAUGAUAUUUUUAAUUGAAUAGAGGCUUGGAGUUGGAAGUAUAAUACAUAAGCUUCCCGUUGACUGCGUUUUAGUCUUACUAAUGAGGCAAAAUUUAUUUUGCGAAUUAGGGUGGCAACACGUUUAUAUCGUCCCUUUA
rnacentral:ncRNA from 1 species